ensembl:snoRNA
AGAAUGUUAACUCCUUUAACUUGUGGACAAUGACUGACAGACAGGUGCAAAAUAUAAAUCCUGUUUUGCAACUCAGAGCUCAUUAAUCAGUAUGAGUUUUGAUACAUACAAGCGGGAAUAGG